UACCGACAUAUAUGUUAAUUUAGAAAACAUUUCAAAUAUCUUAGGAUUCCUGGUGUAGUUUUCUUAUGUUUUCGACAAAUCUUAAUAUUGUUGGGCUGCCUUGUGAUUGAAAAAAAAAGAAAAUAGGUAACAUUUUGGCAGUCUGUCCUUUUUAUGGUAAUUUGAAAAAAAGUAUACAACACAAAGAAAGGCACUGCAAAAAAAGUUCAGUUUUGUUAUCGAUAUUACAACCGCAAUAUAUUAAUGAAUAUUUCAAUAUGAUAACUUUUACUACAUACGAACAUUAAUAAAAUGUCCUUUUUGUUUUGUGUUUCUCUCAAGCCAUCAAUCACGUAUUAGGGAAAAAGGAAUAUGAAGCGAUGAAAGCGCAGGAAGUGAUGGAACAACGUGCGUUCCAACAAGAGAACGACUUUGCCUGAGUCUAUGAUGGUCCAUUUGAAAAAACAAAUGCUUUCUUCUGCUUUUCUUCAACAUAAAAAUGUAAUCAACCUAUCUGUUUUAAAUUGAUCUAUUUUUCACUUGGAAUAAAUCUGCAUUGCAUUACAAAAGUCA